UUUCCGUAGGUGAACCUGCGGAAGGAUCAUUGAACCAAUCGAACCCACACACACACCCGGUCACUUUUUAGCCCCCGAGCCUGUCAUGGGCUCGGGCACCGAUUGGGCCGGACGGCCAGGCUGCACGCCAUGGGCCGCUCCGGGGGCCGGUGGGUCGGAUGGCGGGCGCUCUCGGCGCCCGCGCGUCCGACUGGCGCCCGGCUUUCUCUAUCCAAACACAUACCGAGCCAAUGCGCGGCCGACCCGCCGGGUCGCCGCACCCAAACAAAUGACAACUCUCAACAACGGAUAUCUUGGCCCCC
rnacentral:misc_RNA from 1 species